rnacentral:rRNA from 1 species
UACGGAGGGUGCAAGCGUUAUCCGGAUUCACUGGGUUUAAAGGGUGCGUAGGUGGGCUGGUAAGUCAGUGGUGAAAUCUCCAGGCUUAACUUGGAAACUGCCAUUGAUACUAUUAGUCUUGAAUACCGUGGAGGUCAGCGGAAUAUGUCAUGUAGCGGUGAAAUGCUUAGAUAUGACAUAGAACACAAUUGCGAAGGCAGCUGGCUACACGAAUAUUGACACUGAUGCACGAAAGCGUGGGGAUCAAACAGG